GUGCUCGCUUCAGCAGCACGUGUGCUAAACUUGGAACGAUAAGGAGAGGAUUAGCAUGGCCCCAGCCUAAGGAUGACAUGCAAAUUUUUGAAGCUUUCCAUAAAAAG